rnacentral:rRNA from 1 species
GAUGAACGCUGGCGGCGUGCCUAAUACAUGCAAGUCGAGCGAACAGACGAGGAGCUUUCUCCUUCGACGUUAGCGGCGGACGGGUGAGUAACACGUAGGUAACCUACCUAUAAGACUGGUAUAACUUCGGGAAACCGGAGCUAAUACCGGAUAAUAUUUCGAGCCGCAUGGUUCGAUAGUGAAAGAUGGCUUUGCUAUCACUUAUAGAUGGACCUGCGCCGUAUUAGCUAGUUGGUAAGGUAACGGCUUACCAAGGCAACGAUACGUAGCCGACCUGAGAGGGUGAUCGGCCACACUGGAACUGAGACACGGUCCAGACUCCUACGGGAGGCAGCAGUAGGGAAUCUUCCGCAAUGGGCGAAAGCCUGACGGAGCAACGCCGCGUGAAUGAUGAAGGUCUUCGGAUCGUAAAACUCUGUUAUUAGGGAAGAACAAACGUAUAAGUAACUGUGCACGUCUUGACGGUACCUAAUCAGAAAGCCACGGCUAACUACGUG